GAAAUUUCCACUUCCUCUUACAAGCUCUCUUAUGGGAGUAAGUACAGAAGAGGCUUUUAGAAGGUCGCACGUAUUCAGUAGGAAAAUUCAGGGACCAGAGGGCUGACAGCCAACCUCACAGGACCUGUUGUGACUUCCUGCUGGUGGGAGGACUCACCUGCACCAGGCCAGGCAGUCAACAAAACGGAGGCUUACCUCGCCUAAGGCUGGAGCUGGACCGGGUCUGCAUGCUGGUGAGGAAAGUGCGAUCUGCGUGUGGUGAGAAUAUGCCGGAGGCACAGAGAAUUCUCCAUCUCCGAGGAGAGAACGCUGUUGCUCUGCCUAGAUGCGGGCCUCCAGGACCUGCUGGCAAGAGGACGGGCCCACAGGAGGAAUUCUGUGCUUGUUCUCUGCAGUGA
ensembl:lincRNA